GUGCGGCGGCUGGUUGGUAUCGCCUCCCUACCCACCCCCGCUCCCGUUUCUGUGUCUCUUCGUGUCUCUCUUUCUCCCCUUUCUCUGAAUAUUUGUCCCCUUGUCUCUGCCCUCACCCCUUUGAGACUCCGGCCCCUUCUAAGUCUCUGCGCUCCUUUUGGGUCUCUGUCCCAUUGUUCUAUGAAUCUGUCCCCCCCCUCCUUCAGAGGCUUCCCCCUCUUCUCUCUAAGCCUAAGUCUCCUCCCCCACGACCGCGUCUCGGUCUCCGCAUCCACCCCGUCUCUUUCUCUUGGCUUCUGUACCUUUUGCUAGGACUUGGGUCUCUGUUCCCUGCAACCUCUGCCCCUCUUUGUGACUCUGUCCUCCACUCCCCCCACUCCACUCCCCCCACCCCCACCCCAGAGUGUGUUCCCUCCUCACUCUGGGUCUCUGCCCUUCUUCCAUCUGGGUCUCUGUCCUCGCCCUUGUUCUUUGACUACCUCCCGCUCUGUGUCUUUCUCCCGUCCUCCGUCUUCCCCCCCCUCCGCCUUCCCCCCUCCUCCGUCUCCCCCCUCCCCGUGCCUGCCUUUUCUUUUUACGUCCUUUGUCCCUUUCCCUUCCCUGGGUCUCCACACACCCCCAUCCCGUGCCUCUUUCAUCCUUUUCUGAAUCUCUGCCCCCUUGUUCUGGGUCUCUUUUCCCACUUUCAUUGGGACUCUGUCCUGCCGUCCUUCAGUCUCUGUCCCUCUCUCUCUGGAUCUCUGUCCCGUUCUCUCAGGCUCCCACCCCAUCACCCCCCUUAACCCUCAUCCUGGCCCGGACUCGAGGCUGCGUCACUGCAGAGAGUGGCAGAAGUGCGACCUGUCCUGCGGACCAGGGAGGUAGUUUUCCCUCAACUCUCCCACCCCCGAUCCAGUAUCUUCGGGCAGCCUUCAAGCCCCCAUGAGACCCAGGAGGACAGAGAAAAGACAGUGGGGCUUCCUGCUCUUCUCUGCCCUGAAUUCUAAUGGCUCCCCAGGCCGAAGCAGUGACUCCCGAGCCAGGCACGGGAUCAAGUUACCAAAUCAGCGUUUUUGCAGAGGAGAGGCUUCUGGAGGCAAUAAUGAGGGCUCGCGUUAUGGGACACGCAGCUCUGCAAACAGACCAGGGGGAAGUGGACUCGAUUUUUUGGCGACAGACACCAGGAGAAGGGAGGCCAGUGUUUGCUCAUGUCUUUAGACCCUUUCCCCAUCUCGCCGCUUAUCUUUUCUCAGGUCCUCAAGGCACCAAAUUCCUGAAAGCCCCAAACUCAUCUCCAUCAUCCUUGGUGCCCCUUCCUAACUUCCCUUCCCCCAUUCCCCAAAGCCCUGGAAUUGGGGAAGGGUCUUCCCCUUUCGGACUUCUAGGGCCCUUUCCUCCACCCCCGCUCCUAUCAGUUCCAAAUCCAGGAAAGAUGAUCUCCUGGGCACUAAAGCUGAAAAUAUGGGGACUCUGCCUACGACCCUUGGUCCCUGGAGACCCUCCAAGUACAUCUCCGCUGUAAUCUUUGAGUCCCCAUCUCCCGAGUUCCCCGCUUCCAAAACUGGGAUUUGAGCUGGUUUACCGCCCCCGGACCCUGAGCCAUCUCCUCCCCCGUACUCACCCCAAGUCGAGGCGGGGCGGGGAUGGGGGAAUCCGGGGCUGGCGAUGGGGGGAGGGGUGACCCAGUCUCCGCAGCUCUGGGCAGCAAGAAGCUGCGGAGGGGGGCAGUGACAUCAUCGCUGGAGGAGGGG
rnacentral:lncRNA from 1 species